ensembl:lncRNA novel transcript, antisense to AC026150.11
GGGUGGAAUCUGAAGGGUGAGCCUUCAUCCCCAGGCUGGGAGUGGGUGAGACGAGACUGGGGCCUGUAUGUCUGAGUGCCCCCCAAACCCAGCAGUCAUGUUGCGAGGAAACGAAAUCACGUUACUUCUUCCAGCUGAUGUUCCACUUGUUUCUUCUGUUGUUUCUGUGGGGAGAGUCAAAUAAGGUGAUGGAGGGUGGCCCCCUCAACUCUAUUCCCCAGACCAGGAAGUGGUAGGCAGGGGCCAGGAAUGGAUUUUAAAGGCAAAGUUCUCAGACAUAAUGGGAACACGAACCGGUAAACUCUCCUCAAGCUCCCAAGGACAGAGGAUUUGGGUCUUUGUUGGCUUUUGCCCACAGCCACAGAACUCAAAGUCUGAAUCUGGAAUCUCUUGAGAGGACAGCAAUAUAAACCUCUAGAGAUGGAGUUUCAGAAAGGCCCCUCCUUCUGGCAACUUGUGAUUUAGAGAAGUGGGUUCAUUCAAUAAACAUUUACUGAGC